CCUACGGGGGGCUGCAGUGGGGAAUAUUGCACAAUGGGGGAAACCCUGAUGCAGCGACGCCGCGUGAGUGAAGAAGUAUUUCGGUAUGUAAAGCUCUAUCAGCAGGGAAGAAAAUGACGGUCCCUGAUUAAGAAGCCCCGGCUAACUACGUGCCAGCAGCCGCGGUAAUACGUAGGGGGCACGCGUUUUCCGGAUUUACUGGGUGUAAGGGGAGCGUAGACGGCAGGACAAGUCUGGAGUGAAAUGCCGGGGCUUAACCCCGGAACUGCUUUGGAAACUGUGCAGCUAGAGUGCAGGAGAGGUAAGUGGAAUUCCUAGUGUAGCGGUGAAAUGCGUAGAUAUUAGGAGGAACACCAGUGGCGAAGGCGGCUUACGGGACUGUAACUGACGUUGAGGCUCGAAAGCGUGGGGAGCAAACAGGAUUAGAUACCCGAGUAGUC
rnacentral:rRNA from 1 species